rnacentral:rRNA from 1 species
GACGAACGCUGGCGGCGUGCUUAACACAUGCAAGUCGAACGGAAAGGCCUCUUUCGGGGGGUACUCGAGUGGCGAACGGGCGAGUAACACGUGAGUAACCUGCCCUUGUCUUUGGGUUAACUUACGGAAACAGGGGCUAACACCUGAUAGGAGCUCCUGUUGCACGGAGGGGGUUGGAAAGUUUCGGCGGUUUGGGGUGGACUCGCGGGUUAUCAGCUUGUUGGUGGGGUAGUGGCUUACCAAGGCGUUGACGGGUAGCCGGCCCGAGAGGGUGACCGGCCACAUAGGGACCGAGGUGCGGCACAGGUUGCGACGGGUGGCAGAAGGGGGGAAGAUUGCACGAGGGGUGGCGGCCUGAUGCAGCAAGGCCUUGUGCGGGAUGACGGCCUUCGGGGUGUAAACCGCAUUCGCUCAUGACGAAGCUUUGUGUGACGGUAGUGGGUAAAGAAGCACCGGCUAACUACGUG